AGUGGUGCUUUAACUUGGAGGAGGAGAGCGGCCACAUGACCAUCCAUGAGGAGAGUAGCCAUGUGGCCGGGUCCAUGCAAGAACGAAGCUGUGAGGUACACUGGCAUCAGUCGCCACCAUGCCUCGACCUUCACGACGUCGGUUCUGUGGAAGGCGAUCACGCCAGGAGGGCAGAGAGGGUCUGAUCGCCCAGAGGACAGCUUCAGAGGAGAUGGGAGGAGGCAGCAAACAACAGGAGCUGUUCUCCCUAGGACCGGCAUGCUCAACACCACCCAGCGCCACCACAGGGACCACUGGCAAUGUGAGUAUGUUGGUGAGUAUGCUGCAGAGGAUUCCAGAACACUACCCUGUAAUCAUAGUGUGCAUUUUGCUUGCAUCCACAGAUGGCUACAACGGAACCCAACUUGUCUCUUGUGCCGGGCGUUCAUUCCACAAGAAGACAUUGUGUGCAUCCCUCUUAACCUAGGGCUGGAUGAAAAUGGAAACCCCCAUGUGAUUUUCGUUAGUCAAUGCUUAGAAAAAAAAUAUACACCAGACAAUUACCACCGAAAAGGAGUCGCUUCAUCCUGAUGCAGCCUCUAACUCUCAGUUGAGCAGCACUCCAGACAAUUACUACCGAAAAGGAGUCGCUUCAUCCCGACGCAGCCUCUAACUCUCAGUUGAGCACUCCAGACAAUUACUACAGAAAAGGAGGCCCAUCAUCCUGAUGAAGGUACAUCAGCAUCAGUCACCACCACCACCAUGCCUCGCCAUUCACGACGUUGGUCCUGUGGAAGGUGAUCACGGCAGGAGGGCAGAGAGGGUUCGAGCGCCCACAGGACAAGAGGACCACUUCGGAGGAGACAGGAGGCAGCAAACAGUAGCUGUUCUUCCUAGGACCGGCAUGCUCAACACCACCCAGGGCCACCACAGGGACCACCGGCAAUUAGUCAAUGCUUAGAAAAAAAUAUAUACUCCAGACAAUUCCCACCGAAAAAGAGUCGCUUCAUCCCGACGCAGCCUCUUUCAGGUGAGCACUCCAGAAAAUGACCACAGAAAAGGAGGCCUAUCAUCCUGAUGAAGGUGAGGACUACAGAAAAGGAGGCCCAUCAUCCUGAUGAAGCCCACAGCUCAAAACCCACAACUCCAGACAAUUACCACAGAAAAGGAGACCCAUCAUCCUGAUGAAGACUUUGUCUUUCCUGGUGAUCUUGUGAGCAAGUCUGUUUUUCAAAAGAACAAGCUCUCCAGAAGAAUGUUUUCCUUACAGGGAUGAGACAAACCAUAUACCACUGGCGGGUGCUUACGAUGAUCAGCUAUUAUUUAUUUAUAUAAAACCUUUAUCUCAAAAUAAAAUAAAAACUGU